rnacentral:rRNA from 1 species
AUUGAACGCUGGCGGCAGGCCUAACACAUGCAAGUCGAGCGGAUGAAGGGAGCUUGCUCCUGGAUUCAGCGGCGGACGGGUGAGUAAUGCCUAGGAAUCUGCCUGGUAGUGGGGAUAACGUCCGGAAACGGGCGCUAAUACCGCAUACAUCCUGAGGGAGAAAGUGGGGGAUCUUCGGACCUCACGCUAUCAGAUGAGCCUAGGUCGGAUUAGCUAGUUGGUGGGGUAAAGGCCUACCAAGGCGACGAUCCGUAACUGGUCUGAGAGGAUGAUCAGUCACACUGGAACUGAGACACGGUCCAGACUCCUACGGGAGGCAGCAGUGGGGAAUAUUGGACAAUGGGCGAAAGCCUGAUCCAGCCAUGCCGCGUGUGUGAAGAAGGUCUUCGGAUUGUAAAGCACUUUAAGUUGGGAGGAAGGGCAGUAAGUUAAUACCUUGCUGUUUUGACGUUACCAACAGAAUAAGCACCGGCUAACUUCGUG